CGGAGGAUACGAGCGUUAUCCGGAUUUAUUGGGUUUAAAGGGUGCGUAGGUUGCUUUUUAAGUCAGUGGUGAAAAGCUGUGGCUCAACCAUAGUCUUGCCGUUGAAACUGAGGAGCUUGAGUGUAGAUGCUGUAGGCGGAACGCGUAGUGUAGCGGUGAAAUGCAUAGAUAUUACGCAGAACUCCGAUUGCGAAGGCAGCUUACAAGUUACAACUGACACUGAAGCACGAGAGCGUGGGUAUCAAACAGGAUU
rnacentral:rRNA from 1 species